rnacentral:pre_miRNA from 1 species
AGAGGAAUAGCUGGGUCAAAUGAUGGCUCCAUUCCCAGAUUUCCAAGGAAUCUCCAUACUGCUUUCCAAAUUGGCUGCACCAAUUUGCAGUACCACCAGCAAU